GGCCAGUUUCAGGAGAGUGAAGGUAGAAAAAGAAAGAUAGUUCCUUAAAUCUACAUAAAAGUUCCAAAAUUGUACAGCACACGUCAACAGGACCUGCAAAGUAGUAGCAUUAAGUAUAAAUCAACUUGAAUUAGUAUUGAUAGCCAAAUUUUCAACAACAUAAGAAACUCAUAUGUCACAUGUAAUUGAGGAGCAUAAAGAGCCCAGAUGCAGCUUUUAGUUAAUGAUUUCAACUAAUUUUUGUACCUAAGACCUCAAGUUUUGAUUUGAUAGAAAGGUUGGGGUUCGAACCCUUGAACCUCUCAAAAAGAGAUGAAUCGCUUCACCAGCAAGCCAACAAAGUGUUUUCUUACUGGUGGUAUCAUUUUAUUUAUAUUUAUACCAAUAUCUUCGUUUGCUUAUAAUUUAUUAUUACAAAUUUGGUUUAAAAAAAUUAAUGAAGCAGCUUCCCGUUGCACCGCUAGAGGCAAUGUCAAUCUGCCUCCGCUUCUAUAUAUAUACCUAACCCAUUCAUAGGAGAAAUGACAUCCUAUUAUUGUCCUUUCUCGUGCUCCUUCUUCCUCCCCUUCUUCAAAUCAAAAUAGAAAUAUUAUCAAGGAUAGAAAAAGAGCUGUUUUGCAUCAUAUUUGAGGAAUAUUUUCUCUAUUGGGGCUGAAGAAGCAAUACCACUUAAUCAUUAUCGAAUUGACUGCAAUCUAUUUUUGUCUGUGAAAAUCACAUCAAAGCAGUUGUCUCUCAAGCUUGUGAACUUUUUAAAUAUUGAAUUGAGACAGUUUUGAAUGAAACUACAUGAGUUGAAAGAAUAUGUAUAUGGCCUAACUUAACUAGCUUGAGAUUGAGGCAUUAUUGUUGUUGUACAAAAAAAUAGUAAAAAUACUUUAUGUACUCAUCUACAAUUAAUGAUCGAUCAUUUGAAUACAUAACAAACAACAACAACCCAGUAUAAUCUCACUAAUGGGGUCUGGGGAGGGUAGUGUGUACGCAAACCUUACCCCUAUCAUGAGCCUUACCCCUACCAUGAGGUAGAGAGGCUGUUUCCAAUAGACCUUCGGCAUCCUUCCCUCCAAGAAUUCCCCACCUUGCUCUUGGGGUGACUCGAACUCACAACCUCUUGGUUGGAAGUGGAGGUUGCUUACCAUCAGAGCAACCCCAUUUGAAUACAUAACCGUAAACAUAAAUUCUAUAUGACCUAAGUCACGAGUGUGAUCCAAAAUGCAAAGUUGUGACCUAAAAAUAAUAUACAUACACACAUGCAUGAAGGGUCGGAACUAGGUGAUGGCAAGAGGGUUCAAUUGAAUCCUCUAUAGCUAAAAAUUUCCAUUGUGCAAAUAGGGCAAAUUUUUUAUUUUUUUUUAUUAUGUAUAAACUGGUGAAUUCCUUUGACAUACGAGAAAAUUCGUGUACCGGCAAAGGGAAUUCAAAAAUUGCUUUCCACCACAAGUUUAAAUAGUAUGUGUUGAAAUUCCAAUAUAUUUUUUGAUUUUUCUUAUUUGUAUUUCUGGCUCCGCCACUGCAUGCAUGUGCGUGCGCGUAUGCAGGAAAUAGCAAAAGGCAGCAGGAAUAAGAGAAUAUGUACCUGUUAUACAUACAUAUAUGUAACGUAAAGAGGAAUAUUGAUAAAGAAGGAAGAGAAUGAAAGAAGCUUGGCUUGGUUUCUCCCUCUCUUAUAUAAUUUGUGAAAGAACAAAACAAGAACCAAGAAAGAGAGGGAGAGAGCUAGCACAGCAAUUCCAAACCUUCUCUUUUCUCAAUCAGCUCUAUUUAUAAUUUCAUGAAUUUAUUUUCCCCUGUAUUUAUGUCAAUGGAAUUCGACAGAAUGAUUAUAUAGAUAGAAAGAGAAAAUGUUGAAAAAAGGAAGGAAGAAGAAGAAAAAAAG
rnacentral:lncRNA from 1 species